UACGAAGGGGGCUAGCGUUGCUCGGAAUCACUGGGCGUAAAGGGUGCGUAGGCGGGUUUUUAAGUCAGGGGUGAAAUCCCAGAGCUCAACUCUGGAACUGCCUUUGAUACUGGGUGUCUUGAGUAUGGAAGAGGUGAGUGGAAUUCCGAGUGUAGAGGUGAAAUUCGUAGAUAUUCGGAGGAACACCAGUGGCGAAGGCGGCUCACGGGCCCGGUACUGACGCUGAGGUGCGAAAGCGUGGGGAGCAAACAGG
rnacentral:rRNA from 1 species